ACACGACUACAUUAGAUACCCGUGUAGUCCUAGCCGUAAACGAUACUCGCUAGGUGUCGGCCACGGUGCGACCGUUGUCGGUGCCGUAGGGAAGCCGUGAAGCGAGCCACCUGGGAAGUACGGCCGCAAGGCUGAAACUUAAAGGAAUUGGCGGGGAGCACCACAACGGGUGGAGCUUGCGGUUUAAUUGGAUUCGACGCCGGAAAUCUUACCGGGACCGACAGCAACAUGAAGGCCAGGCUGAAGACUUUGCCGGAUUAGCUG
rnacentral:rRNA from 1 species